AGUGAACGCUGGCGGUAGGCCUAACACAUGCAAGUCGAACGGCAGCACAGUAAGAGCUUGCUCUUACGGGUGGCGAGUGGCGGACGGGUGAGGAAUACAUCGGAAUCUACUUUUUCGUGGGGGAUAACGUAGGGAAACUUACGCUAAUACCGCAUACGACCUACGGGUGAAAGCAGGGGAUCUUCGGACCUUGCGCGAUUGAAUGAGCCGAUGUCGGAUUAGCUAGUUGGCGGGGUAAAGGCCCACCAAGGCGACGAUCCGUAGCUGGUCUGAGAGGAGGAUAGGCGACGCGGGAACAGAAUCACGGUCCAGACUCCUACGGGGAGCCGCAGUGGGGAAUAUUGGGAAGUGGGAGCGAGCCUGAUCCAGCCAUGCCGCGUGGGUGAAGGAGGCCUUCGGGUUGGAAAGCCGUUGUGUUGGGAGAGAAGAGCAGCAGGUUAAUAACAAGAUGUUAUGACGGUACCCGAAGAAUAAGCACCGGCUAACUUCGUG
rnacentral:rRNA from 1 species